GUAGCUCCCUGGCAGGGGAGACGCCACGGUCACGAGGGCGGCUUCCCCAGGGCGAGCUGCUCCACCACACUGGGGACCUGCUGACCCCUGCGAUUUCCCCACGUGGGGAGAACUCUACUGCAUCAUUUGCGUUGGUGGGAGGCUGCGUGCGCGCUUCCCCCAC
ensembl:snRNA U1 U1 spliceosomal RNA